CGAGUUAGCCAGACAAUCGCUGCUUAAUCGUUGUAUCAAUUGCGUAAGCUUUUGGUAGACAGAUUAAGGGGAGGAAAGUCCGGGCUCCAUUGAGCAGGGUGCCAGGUAACACCUGGGCGGCGUGAGCCGACGACAAGUGCAGCAGAGAGAAGACCGCCGAUGGCUAGCAAUAGCACAGGUAAGGCUGAAAGGGUGCGGUAAGAGCGCACCGGGCGGCUGGUAACAGUCCGCAGCAGGGUAAACUCCACCCGGAGCAAGACCAAAUAGGGUUCCUUACGGCGUGGCUCGCGUUGGAACCGGGUAGGUUGCUUGAGCCUAGAAGCGAUUCUAGGCCUAGACGAAUGAUUGUCGCAUCGAAAGAUGUAACAGAACCCGGCUUAUACGGCUAACUCACUAA
rnacentral:RNase_P_RNA from 1 species